ensembl:misc_RNA Metazoa_SRP Metazoan signal recognition particle RNA
GCCGGGUACGCUGGCACGUGCCUGUAGUCCCAGAUACUUGGGAGGCUGAGGUGGGAGGAUUGCUUGAGCCCAGGAGUGUUGAGCUGUAGUGCGCUAUGCUGAUCAGGUGUCUGCAGUAAGUUCGGCAUCAAUACGGUGACCUCCCAGGAGCAGGGAACCACCAGGUUGCCUAAGGAGGGGUGAACCUGCCCAGGUCGGAAAUGGAGCAGGUCAAAACUCACAUGCUGAUCGGCAGUGGGACUGCACCUGUGAAGAGCCACUGCAUUUCAGCCUGGGCAACAUAGCAAGAUCCAGUCUCUA